UUGACCCGUUCUGAAACACGGACCAAGGAGUCUAACAUGUGUGCGAGUCAUUGGGCGCACUAAACCCAGAGGCGCAAUGAAAGUGAAAGGUGGGCGCCGAGCCGGGGAGGUGGGGGGUUCUCCUCUCUCUCUCCUCCGGUCCUCGGCGUCCUCCGGGGCCGAUCCUCGACUGGCCGCUGCCGCAGUCGGUGUCUUUCCCACACCAAAGCGGGGCCGACACGGAGGUGGCGCGGGGUGAGACCCUUUCCCCCGUCGUCCAUCCUCCGGCCCCGUGGGUACCCGGCGCGAGCGGCGGUCCGGCUUUUCCCGUCUCGGGAGGCCGCCUGUACGCAGGGGGGCGCAGGCCCGGGACUUGCCAUUUGACGCCGUCGCGCAAAUCUGUUGUUGGCCUCGCCGGCUCUGCUUGGGCUCUCGGUGGGCGGGCCGCGCGUCAGGCGGGCUUUAGGGCGGGUACUGUGCCCGUCCGGGUCCGUCCCGCGCGGUUUUUGCCCUCCGAUCCUGCUCUGUCCGGAGUGGCCUAGCGCGCGUGCUGUCGGCAAGUACCAUGAGCAGACAUGUUGGGACCCGAAAGAUGGUGAACUAUGCCUGGCCAGGAUGAAGCCAGAGGAAACUCUGGUGGAGGUCCGUAGCAAUUCUGACGUGCAAAUCGAUUGUCAGAGCUGGGUAUAGGGGCGAAAGACUAAUCGAACCAUCUAGUAGC
rnacentral:rRNA from 1 species